UUUGUGUUUACAGCUACAAAAUGAAUCAUGAAGCAUGGGAAGGGCAGGGCCAGCCUGAGAGCCCUAGGAGAAGAGGAGGAGCAGGCAUGUAACCAGCAGUGAGUCACAAGGAGCAUAACUAGCCCUAUCAGUUCAGUAUGCCUUGGCUCAUACUUUCCUGCAUGUGGACUGAGCUUCAGUACUCAUCAGCAGAAAGUGCGAACUUUAUACCUAUCUCAGCUUUCAAGUGUCCAUAGGAGCAUUGCCUUUGGUAUAAGAGAAGAGCUGGUGAAGAUGGCUGUACUCCUGGGAGGGCAGUGGAACAUCUUUUAAGGAGAGUCUUUAGGAAAGGAGAGAUCCCUGUGAGCAUGGCUAGAUGUGCUACAUCACUGGACGCUGGCGGAGAGCUUGGCAGCCAUACCAUGACACGGGAUUACACGUAUUAGUUAAACUGUCUUGAGGUUUUACAAGCAGCAGUUCUCCAAGCGGUGCUUGGUGAGGAAGUACCCCAUGGUGUGCUGUGUAGUGUUCUGCUCUUGUAUCCUUGUGAAACGUGUCUUCUUUUCUGACUUGGUGUAGCUCAUGCUGAUGAUGUCUGCUCUGAGCCUAGCAGGGUUUGCACUUGUCACAGAAGAGGUUUGGGAUAAAUGUGUCCACUUCACUUGGUAAAUACACUCAUGCUUGUAUGAUAAGUUUUCUUCAACUGUCUUUGUCCGUAAGAGCUGGAAAGCUUAUUUAUUUUUUCUGGAGCAGUAAAUCAGUAGGCUGUGAUUAAGGAUUUAAGAAGAUCCUUUGUUUGCCAGUCCAAAAUCUGAUUUACUGAAGCAUCUCUAACUAGCAGGCAGCUCAAUCACGUUUUGUAUUUCUUUUCUGUACACAGUGGGACAGAAGGCCAGAGACAUCAUGUUCAAAGGCCUCCAGUGCUGCUGAGUUUAUAGAUCAGUGAAAGAUGUGUGGUUGUUCCCCUCCCUCUUUCAGAGGAAGAUCUUUCA